rnacentral:rRNA from 1 species
UACGAGGGGGCGAGCGUUAAUCGGAAUUACUGGGCGUAAAGCGCGCGUAGGUGGUGUGUUAAGUCGGAUGUGAAAGCCCUGGGCUCAACCUGGGAACUGCAUCCGAUACUGGCACGCUAGAGUGCAGUAGAGGGAGGUGGAAUUUCCGGUGUAGCGGUGAAAUGCGUAGAGAUCGGAAGGAACACCAGUGGCGAAGGCGGCCUCCUGGACUGACACUGACACUGAGGUGCGAAAGCGUGGGGAGCAAACAGG